rnacentral:rRNA from 1 species
CCUACGGGCGGCAGCAGUGAGGAAUAUUGGUCAAUGGACGAGAGUCUGAACCAGCCAAGUAGCGUGAAGGAUGACUGCCCUAUGGGUUGUAAACUUCUUUUAUCUGGGAAUAAAAUGUUCCACGUGUGGGAUUUUGUAUGUACCAUAUGAAUAAGGAUCGGCUAACUCCGUGCCAGCAGCCGCGGUAAUACGGAGGAUCCGAGCGUUAUCCGGAUUUAUUGGGUUUAAAGGGAGCGUAGGUGGAUUGUUAAGUCAGUUGUGAAAGUUUGCGGCUCAACCGUAAAAUUGCAGUUGAAACUGGCAGUCUUGAGUACAGUAGAGGUGGGCGGAAUUCGUGGUGUAGCGGUGAAAUGCUUAGAUAUCACGAAGAACUCCGAUUGCGAAGGCAGUUCACUGGACUGCAACUGACACUGAGGCUCGAAAGUGUGGGUAUCAAACAGGAUUAGAUACCCUUGUAGUC